UUUUUUUUUUUUUUUUUUUUUUUUUUUUUUUUUUUUUUUUUUUUUUUUUUUUUUUUUUUUUUUUUUCCUCCUCCUUUCCGGGUGCUACAGAAUAUAUAUAUAUAAUUCUUAUUGAAAGUCGGAAUUCAAUAGAAAAGAAGGAAUUCAAGUACUAACUUUAAUAUUUAGAUACUAUAGUUUGGAUAAGGAAACUAGACUAAACUGUUUAGUCUGAACUGGAUUGGAUCAAAACUUUAACCAGUUCAAUCGUCGAUUCAUGAAUAAAAGGAU
rnacentral:lncRNA from 1 species